CCCUUGUGAAAGUCAUGGCGGCGGUAGCUUAGGCUUCGCUCUCUAACAAUAACAAAUCGUUCACAAACGAAUAAUUUAUUCUGUCCUCAUCUACGUCAUCCCUAGAAAGAUGGGACAGACAGCGUCGUCAAUUGCCAAGUCGACAGUAAAACCUUUUUCAAAGAUUUUUGGCAGGUCCAGCAGCGAGAACGAUGUAGAUAAGAAUUGUCAGGGUAUUGUUCCUCGUGCGUCGUUGUAUGUGUAUAAGAGAAGAGGAUCAAUGUAUUAUGAUGAAGAUGGUGAUCUUGCUCACGAGUUCUACCGUCAGGUUGUACGCAAUGACAAAGUAACAAUGGAGAGAUGUUUAGACAACUUGAUUCCACAGGGGGAUGUGGACCUAGUCAUACCCAGGCUGCAUGUUGACCUACCAGUUUUCUUGUAUGAGAUGCCAAACUGUGUCCAUGAUUCUGCCAGCAGGAGGUGAUAAGGACUGUUCACCAACUGUGCAAAAGGUUGUAAAUUGCAUCUGUAUUAAUCUUUGUGACUCCCUGUGUAAAUAUACAUUUUGAAUCUUAUGAUUUAUGACAAGUUCAACUUACUGUGGAUAUUCCAACUGUUCAGUUUAAAUUAAAAAAGCUUCUGCACAUGCAAUUGAUCUGCUGACCCAUUACUGAUUUGUAGAAUUAGAAAGCUUUUGUUAAAACUACCCUACAUGUUGCUAACCAUGUCCUCGGCAGUGAAUAGUGUGAUAACUGAUGAAACUGUUGUAGCUGUUUUAAUAGACAACUUGCUAGGUCUUCUUUCUUUUAUUGCCUGUAUUUGAUAUUGUCAUCAGAAUUGCAUCAUAUGACACAAGUCUGUUUUUGUAUAUUCUGAAGGAUUAUGAUUAUCAAUUAUAUGUCUUGGUUGACUUGCAUUAAUAUCUGUGUCAUACUAAUUGAUCAUGAAUAGUGUGAAUAGCAUGAAAGAUCAGCUACAAAUGUUAUUUUGUCUUAAUUCUGAAAAUUAUUGUGAUUUGAUAGUUUUUGUGGCAACUCAGAUGAGGACACUUAAAAUGCUGCAGGUGUGGGCAAGCUCUGCAGCUCACAAUUUAAUGGCUUUCUUUGAGUUUCUUUUAUGUAAUAAUAUUUAGCAAUUUUAUACUGAUACCAUACCUAUUCCUUAGUCAGUCUUUCAGAAUAUGUGAACAUUGAAUGUUUUGCUAUCAUGUACGCCUAUGAUAUUUAGCGAAUCCCAUUUUCGUUCUUUGCUGAUAACUUUAACUUUUGGAGUCCCAUAUCAAGUCAGAUGGAAGGGACUUGUGAAAAUGUGAUCUACUUUAAACUCAUCAUGUAUGCACUGUGUAAGACUUAAGUUGUCAGUUUGAUACCAGAUCAUCUGUUUGUUACAUAAUAAUUAUGAAUGGCUGAUUGAAAAUAAAUUCACAAUGAAUGUACAUGUUAGUGUUAAUUUUUUAUUAUUACUUGUAAUAACAUGUUGCCUGCAUCAAGUCAUUAUUGCAUCAUUCAGUAGACAGUCAAAUUUCAUUUUUGUUUUCUCUCUCUCUUUAUUGUACAGUGUUAUUUUCAAAAUCAAAAUUUUACUACAGGACACUGUAGCUGUAAUCACUGUUUUAAUGCCACUAUAAAGUCCUAGAAAUUUGCCACUUUUUUCUUUUUUACUUAUUUUUAAACAUCUGGUUGAUAUAUAUAUAUACACAUUUAAAUGAAAGAACAACUUUAAAUUGCAUCUAAGUAACAUAAAAAAAGAACUGCAUUAUCUUUCACUCUUGAAGAACAUGUAAAGUAUUGUAACUGGGACAGAAUAGAUGCAGACUCUUGCUGCUUGUGCAUAUAAUAUUAUGCAUAUCUUGUAGAACAGAGGAGAUUUUUUUCUAGAUUUGUAUGAAUAAGUUACUAGGAGAGUGUGUGUAUGUGAACAGAUCAGCAUGAAUGUAAAUUCUCCCAUUCUCACUGUGACAGUUGUAACAAAAACUAAUUGAAAGUAUUAGAACGCAAACUUGUGAGAAGUGAAAAAAGAAAGUAAAAAAUGAAAUGCUUCAUGCAAAAACAAAUGUCUUAUUGUGCACAUUGAUGUAUUGUGUGUGUAGCUUAUAAGGCUAGAGUCUUGUGGUAGGCUAGCUGUUUCAGCGAUGAACACAUUCAGCAUGGACACAGUAUUAAAAAAGGCUGAGAGAGUCCAGCCCUCUCUGUCACUUCCCUUUACCUUCUCGGGUACCCCAUUACUGCUUGGUCAACAGAAGAAACAUACCAGUCAAAAGCCCACAUAAGUCUGCAAGCUGCUGUAAAAUCAAAUGCACCGACCAUGUGGAUAUGGUACUUUUUGAACUAGGCUUUUUUUGUUUUAGGAAGGAGUAACCUUAUAGUCUUUGAACCUCUUGCAAUUAGUCCAGCAAUUUUGGAAUGUAAAGGAAAUUAUUUGUAGACCAAAAUAAAGCUUUUUAGAAUGCCAACAGGUUCAUGUAUCAGCAUCCACACACUACAUGCUGAUUAACUUCCUCCCCUUCACACAUCCUUUGCCAAUUCUGUCUUCUGCAUGCUUUUUUGAGUUUUUAUUUUUUUGAUUAUAAUUAUUAUUAUUAAUUGUACACACAUGUAGCUGUCAUUAUAUCAGGGUGUUUGUAUAAUGAGAUCAGUUUUGUGAAUUGUUAAUUGGUUAAUAUAUCUUGAUAUAAUAUAUCUGAUUGGCCUGAUAUCUGUGCUCUCCAGAAAUCAGCUUCAUUUUGGAUAGUCUUCAAAUUUUUACAUGAUAAAUGAUAAAAAAAUUACAACAUAUAAUCCAUGAUAUAAAAGACUUAGUUACACUUUUUAAAGUGUGUUAUGAAGUGCAGAAUUUAUUUUUGAGCUGUAAACACAUAAUUCACAAAGACCAACAUUCCAAAGAUUUUUUUAGCUUGUUAUUCUCUCAUAGUUGACAUAGAUUUAUUAUUUGUCUUGCAUUUAUUCUUAUACCCAUAACAUUAUCUGAGCUGUUGAAUAUCACAAUUUUAAGAUCAAAUGACAUCAACAGAGAGCCUGGCAGGAGAGUGGCAAAGGAUGUGUCAAAUGGCUGGACCUCAGACACAGGUUAAUUUUUAUAUUCACAGUCCUCAGCUGAGUAAUCUGCACUCAGUCUUUAGUGUACGGUUUAUAGCUACAGAGUAUGUAUAUAUAUAAGUUGUUCAACUGCAAUACUCAGGGCAAAUUGAACUAACAGCAGAUGAAUGACAGUGAGCCAGGCAUAGCAGUAGUUUUCUAGCACAGCUAAAUUGCACAUGAACUGACAGUCAACCAGAAGCACAGCAGAAUUGUAUUGAUGGAGGAUGGAGCUCGAUGGCAGAUAUGGUGCAAUAUGUAACAAUGAAUGACUAUGUUAAUAGCUGUACAGUUACAAUAUCACAAGAUGUAUUAUCAACAGCAUAUUUGUACAUGCUUGCAUGUGACUUAAUUAUUUAUUUGCAGUGUCAUUUACCCUUUAAUUUGUUUUCUGAACACAUUUCCCCAUAGAUUCUUCCAUUUGCUUUUUUUCUUUUAAUAGAGUCAUAAAGGACAAGGCGUAGGUAGCUCUUUUGCACAUAAAACAAAAUGCAAGUCUUUUUAUAUAUUUCGUACUUGAAAUUGGAGGUUUUAAAGGAGGGAGAAAUUGCAGUUUGUUUACCUCAAUGACAUCUGUGAAUAUUGAGGGGUUGUUCACUUGACCUUGCUGUUAUACAGUUUAGCAAGUUUAAUAAUAUUAUAUUGGUCUAUAUUUAAAAGAGACCCUAAAAAAGGUUCACACUGAAAUAAAGGUGGGUGACAAUUGUUUACCUACACGCAUAAGCAUACACAUUCAUGGUGCAUGGGUUAGUCUUAGAGAUUGAAAGGUGGAGAGAUGUGCAUAUCGAUCUGGAUUUUGUGGAAUUUUUGUUUUUAAAACUGGAGCAUCGCAAGUUUGAGAAUGUGGUUACGUGUACAAGCAAGUUUCUAUUCUGACUUGCUGGAGUGACAUACAUAUUGGUGUUAGUUCCAUGACAGAAAGAAAUGCUGUGGAUGUAAUUUAUUCAUCAAAAUAUAAACAUCUUAGCAAAGAUGUGAUAUGCUAAGACAGUCAGGUUGAAAAUUAGAUAAAAUGGUGAAUAUCAGCUGUGUGAUUUCUUGGAAGAGUUCAGUGAUAAGAGUGCUGUUGAAUUGAUUAGUUGUACUUGUCAUUUUAUCAGAAAACAUUACUUCUUCAUGGUACAGGAGAAUCAUGAAAAUCAGUUUCAACACAAACACUAUGUAUCACCAGUAAGAUUUUCAGGUGUGAUGAAAUCAAAUUAGCUACACCCAUAAAAAAAUAGUUUGACAAAACAAUGCUUUAAAAAGAACCAAGUUAGUGAUAACAUUUCAUUAAAAAGUUUUUUUUUAAUACUUGCUAACAGAAAAGCUUAAUUCUAGCCAUACAUGCGGUCAGCAUUGGACAAUUUUUAAAAAGCUUUAAGAAAAGUUACCAAAGUGGGUAAAAUAAUAAUCUCCCUAGCAUUGACUUCUUAUUAUCAUUACAUUUUAAGCAGAUUUUUUUUUUUCUGCAGAAAUAUUGCGUGCAGCACAGGCAAGUCUUAUCAUUUAUGAGGCUGAUGUAAUUUGCACAUUAAAAUAUGAUUUGGAACAAAAUAUUUUAGUGAAAACAAAUGUAUAUUGCUAAUUUAUCACUCAUCCUUAUAAGAUGUGUUAUUCUACCAAGUUUCUAGAAGUUAUGAGACACCAAGCUCAGGACAUGCAGAAAUGUGCAUGUAAGUACUUAUCUCCUGGGAAGCAUUAAUUACAUGCAAUGACAAACAGAGAUAGAUGUGUUUGCUCUCUGCUACAGUCCAACACAGGUCACUUUUCCUUCCUCAGACUUCUUGACCUUUUGUCUUUGCUCAGUGGAACAUUCCUCUACAGGGCACAGAUGAGAUUUGCACAGAAAAGCAUUGCAAUAUGUUGAGUUGAAUGAGUGCUUCUCGCCCUUUCCCAAACAUAAAAACAUGAACUCAUAUUGGGUGGGGGAGGAUGGUUGGUUUGGCGAGAAUGUGUUUCCCCCGAGAGGUUAUUUUGUACUAUGAGGGUAGAAGUAUCAUUGUGGAUAACAAAACGGAGAGGAAAUCCGCGACGGCCAAUCCUGCAAAUAAGCAUCACCAACAGAGACUGUCCUAAUAUGAACCCAUUACCUUUGAGGUGUGGGACCAUAAUUUUGUAUGGAAAAGGUGGUGUGGACACCCGUGCAAACCAGCCCAAGAUUUUUGUUUUUAUCAAAGUGUUCAGUUACUUUCUGUAAAACAAGGGCUCCACUAGAAGGUAGAAUUAUAUCGAUACUAUUAAUGCAUAGUAACCACUAGAUUAAGUAUGAAAUUUGAUUUAGUUGAGUGAUACUUUGAAAUGUUGAAGUAAAAAAGAAAUAUGUUUUCAC